rnacentral:rRNA from 1 species
GACGAACGCUGGCGGCGUGCCUAACACGUGCAAGUCGAGCGGAGAUAAUAGCAAUAUUAUCUUAGCGGCGGACGGGUGAGUAACGCGUGGGUAACCUGCCUUAUACAGGGGGAUAACAAAGGGAAACUUGUGCUAAUACCGCAUAAUACCAUUGGGUGGCAUCAUCUGAUGGUCAAAGGAGUAAUCCGGUAUGAGAUGGACCCGCGUCCGAUUAGCUAGUUGGAGGUGUAACGGACCACCAAGGCGACGAUCGGUAGCCGAACUGAGAGGUUGAUCGGCCACAUUGGGACUGAGACACGGCCCAGACUCCUACGGGAGGCAGCAGUGGGGAAUAUUGCGCAAUGGGGGAAACCCUGACGCAGCAACGCCGCGUGAAGGAUGAAGGUUUUCGGAUUGUAAACUUCUUUAGUCGGGGACGAACAAAUGACGGUACCCGAAGAAUAAGCCACGGCUAACUACGUGCCAGCAGCCGCCGCCGUAA